CCUCCAUUUCUUGGCACACGUGUUUGGUUGCUCGGUACCCGCGUGUGAUUGUUCGGAGGCAGAGUGAUUAUGUCGGCGCAAUGUCUUCGGUACCAGCGACCUUUCCCGUGUCCUGGUUCUAUCCUCAAUCACCGACACAAAU